AGUUUCAGGAUAAUUUUUAAAGGGUCACAAUUCAAACCCCCCCCUUCCUUGUGACUAUUUUAUCUACUUCAAUAGAUUGUUAUGCAGCAAAUGAAUGUUAAACAAAAUUGGAUAAACAGAUAAUAUUACUGUCACCGCCCCUUGUCAAUAUUGUCCUCCGCCUUCACCACCGCCAACAUCGUCAAAGAGAGGUAAGGUUGAGGACGAGAUAGAGAAAGAAGAACCAUGAAGCAAGCACAAAAUUUUGAGAGAGUUGCAAAGGGGGAAGGGCGAGAGAGUUUAGAGAGAGAGACGACGUCGGGCUCGGUUCAGUGUGGUGGGUCAUCGCCGGUAGGGAGAGAAGUCCAUGAAAAGUGAAAGGGGGAAGAAAGAGAAAAAAGAUAUUAACAAAACACAGGAAAAAAAAAUGAGGUGAAUCAGUAAACAGAUAAUAUUAAAAUAUGAAGGUUAGAAAGCUUGGACAAAAACAGUGACCUUGUGCUGGUGGUGGGUGAGUGACCAUGGAGGAGAGAAUGAUGGUAGAAGAAAGUGUGGAAAAAUCUAGUAAUAAGAGAGUAUGAUU
rnacentral:lncRNA from 1 species